UGGGGAAUAUUGGACAAUGGGGGGAACCCUGAUCCAGCCAUGCCGCGUGUGUGAAGAAGGCCUUAUGGUUGUAAAGCACUUUAAGCGAGGAGGAGGGUACUGGUAUUAAUACUACCAGGUACUGGACGUUACUCGCAGAAUAAGCACCGGCUAACUCUGUGCCAGCAGCCGCGGUAAUACAGAGGGUGCGAGCGUUAAUCGGAUUUACUGGGCGUAAAGCGUGCGUAGGCGGCUAAGUGAGACGGAUGUGGAAUCCCCGAGCUUAACUUGGGGAUUGCAUUCGAUACUGGUUAGCUAGAGUGUGGGGGAGGAUGGUAGAAUUCCAGGUGUAGCGGUGAAAUGCGUAGAGAUCAGGAGGAAUACCGAUGGCGAAGGCAGCCAUCUGGCCUAACACUGACGCUGAGGUACGAAAGCAUGGGGAGCAAACAGG
rnacentral:rRNA from 1 species